UAAGGGCGCACGGUGGAUGCCUUGGCACUAGAAGCCGAUGAAGGACGUUACUAACGACGAUAUGCUUUGGGGAGCUGUAAGUAAGCUUUGAUCCAGAGAUUUCCGAAUGGGGAAACCCAGCAUGAGUUAUGUCAUGUUAUCGAUAUGUGAAUACAUAGCAUAUCAGAAGGCACACCCGGAGAACUGAAACAUCUUAGUACCCGGAGGAAGAGAAAGAAAAUUCGAUUCCCUUAGUAGCGGCGAGCGAAACGGGAAGAGCCCAAACCAACAAGCUUGCUUGUUGGGGUUGUAGGACACUCUAUACGGAGUUACAAAGGACGACAUUAGACGAAUCAUCUGGAAAGAUGAAUCAAAGAAGGUAAUAAUCCUGUAGUCGAAAAUGUUGUCUCUCUUGAGUGGAUCCUGAGUACGACGGAGCACGUGAAAUUCCGUCGGAAUCUGGGAGGACCAUCUCCUAAGGCUAAAUACUCUCUAGUGACCGAUAGUGAACCAGUACCGUGAGGGAAAGGUGAAAAGCACCCCGGAAGGGGAGUGAAAUAGAACCUGAAACCGUGUGCUUACAAGUAGUCAGAGCCCGUUAAUGGGUGAUGGCGUGCCUUUUGUAGAAUGAACCGGCGAGUUACGAUUUGAUGCAAGGUUAAG
rnacentral:rRNA from 1 species